UACAGAGGGUGCGAGCGUUGUCCGGAAUCACUGGGCGUAAAGGGCGCGUAGGUGGCGACCCAAGUCGAUGGUGAAAGCUCGCCGCUCAACGGCGAGUCGGCCACUGAUACUGGGUUGCUGGAGCACUGUAGAGGCAGAUGGAAUUCCGGGUGUAGCGGUGGAAUGCGUAGAGAUCCGGAAGAACACCGGUGGCGAAGGCGGUCUGCUGGGCGAGUUGC
rnacentral:rRNA from 1 species